rnacentral:piRNA from 1 species
CACAGAAUGACAAGACCAAAGGA